rnacentral:rRNA from 1 species
AGAGUUUGAUCCUGGCUCAGGAUGAACGCUAGCGACAGGCUUAACACAUGCAAGUCGAGGGGCAGCGGGAAGGUUAGCUUGCUAAUCUUUGCCGGCGACCGGCGCACGGGUGAGUAACACGUAUGCAACCUGUCCGGUACAGGGGGAUAAGCGGCGGAAACGCCGUCUAAUACCGCGUGACAACCCGAGGGGGCAUCCCCUUGGGUUCAAAGGAGAGAUCCGGUACCGGCUGGGCAUGCGGCGCAUUAGCUAGUUGGCGGGGCAACGGCCCACCAAGGCGACGAUGCGUAGGGGUUCUGAGAGGAAGGUCCCCCACACUGGAACUGAGACACGGUCCAGACUCCUACGGGAGGCAGCAGUGAGGAAUAUUGGUCAAUGGGCGCAAGCCUGAACCAGCCAAGUCGCGUGAGGGAAGACGGCCCUACGGGUUGUAAACCUCUUUUGCCGGGGAGCAAGCCUGAGCACGUGUGCCCAGGCGGAGAGUACCCGGAGAAAAAGCAUCGGCUAACUCCGUGCCAGCAGCCGCGGUAAUACGGAGGAUGCGAGCGUUAUCCGGAUUUAUUGGGUUUAAAGGGUGCGCAGGCGGGCUGUUAAGCCGGCGGUAAAAAUUCAGGGCUCAACCCUGUCGAGCCGUCGGAACUGGCAGUCUUGAGUGGGCGAGAAGUAUGCGGAAUGCGUGGUGUAGCGGUGAAAUGCAUAGAUAUCACGCAGAACGCCGAUUGCGAAGGCAGCAUACCGGCGCCCAACUGACGCUGAGGCACGAAAGCGUGGGGAUCGAACAGGAUUAGAUACCCUGGUAGUCCACGCAGUAAACGAUGAGCGCUAACUGUCCGGAGCGAGCGAGCUCUGGGUGGUACAGUGAAAACGUUAAGCGCUCCACCUGGGGAGUACGCCGGCAACGGUGAAACUCAAAGGAAUUGAC